GUUUAUUGCGUGAACUGGCAGCUUCGCAAGCACAGUUUGUGAAUAACUUCACAGAGUGCAAAAUCAUGGCUUGUUUGCGGGACAAGAACCACCUCUUGUAUCUGGAGAUGCCGUGAUGCCAAGACCACGGGCAGAGCGGUGGAAAAGGGCCCAGUGUUCGGAUGAGUCAUCGUUCACCAUCUUCACACCAGGCAUGAUGACUGCAUGUGGUGCAGACAAAAACAAGCCAACGGGCUCCAGAAUGAAGGGAUAUUCAAGUACAAACGUACGGUACUUCAAGGUGCUGGUGUCCACUGUCAUAAAAACUGCUACCGGUGUCGAAUGACAUCACAACAUGAGGCGAGUAGGUCAACCGGAAAAAGCCCAAUACCGACAAGCUGAACGGAGCCAUAUCGCCAUCUAUUCUAGUGGAGUCGGACAUACUUCCGUCAAUAAAUCAAUUCCCCUCUCGUGCAUGUAUACUGGGACAAGGGACAGCAGUCCGAUUAAACGGCGUCGUCGAGCUAUAACCGUAGCUCGACUUAGCUGUGCAUGUAAACGUCCUGACUGU